UACGAAGGGGGCUAGCGUUGCUCGGAAUCACUGGGCGUAAAGGGUGCGUAGGCGGUUCUUUAAGUCAGGGGUGAAAUCCUGGAGCUCAACUCCAGAACUGCCUUUGAUACUGUAGAUCUUGAGUCCGGGAGAGGUGAGUGGAACUGCGAGUGUAGAGGUGAAAUUCGUAGAUAUUCGCAAGAACACCAGUGGCGAAGGCGGCUCACUGGCCCGGUACUGACGCUGAGGCACGAAAGCGUGGGGAGCAAACAGG
rnacentral:rRNA from 1 species